GACGAACGCUGGCGGCGUGCCUAAUACAUGCAAGUCGAGCGAGCUUGCCUAGAUGAAUUUGGUGCUUGCACCAAAUGAAACUAGAUACAAGCGAGCGGCGGACGGGUGAGUAACACGUGGGUAACCUGCCCAAGAGACUGGGAUAACACCUGGAAACAGAUGCUAACACCGGAUAACAACACUAGACGCAUGUCUAGAGUUUAAAAGAUGGUUCUGCUAUCACUCUUGGAUGGACCUGCGGUGCAUUAGCUAGUUGGUAAGGUGACGGCUUACCAAGGCAAUGAUGCAUAGCCGAGUUGAGAGACUGAUCGGCCACAUUGGGACUGAGACACGGCCCAAACUCCUACGGGAGGCAGCAGUAGGGAAUCUUCCACAAUGGACGCAAGUCUGAUGGAGCAACGCCGCGUGAGUGAAGAAGGGUUUCGGCUCGUAAAGCUCUGUUGGUAGUGAAGAAAGAUAGAGGUAGUAACUGGCCUUUAUUUGACGGUAAUUACUUAGAAAGUCACGGCUAACUACGUGCCAGCAGCCGCGGUAAUACGUAGGUGGCAAGCGUUGUCCGGAUUUAUUGGGCGUAAAGCGAGUGCAGGCGGUUCAAUAAGUCUGAUGUGAAAGCCUUCGGCUCAACCGGAGAAUUGCAUCAGAAACUGUUGAACUUGAGUGCAGAAGAGGAGAGUGGAACUCCAUGUGUAGCGGUGGAAUGCGUAGAUAUAUGGAAGAACACCAGUGGCGAAGGCGGCUCUCUGGUCUGCAACUGACGCUGAGGCUCGAAAGCAUGGGUAGCGAACAGG
rnacentral:rRNA from 1 species